AUUGAACGCUGGCGGCAGGCCUAACACAUGCACGUCGAACGAGUGGCGGACGGGUGAGUAAUGUCUGGGAAACUGCCCGAUGGAGGGGGUAACUACUGGAAACGGUUGCUAAUACCGCAUAGCCACGGGAGGGCCCAGAUGGGAUUAGCUAGUAGGUGGGGUAACGGGUCACCUAGGCGACGGUCCCUAACCGGUCUGAGAGGAUGACCAGCCACACUGGAACUGAGACACGGUCCAGACUCCUACGGGAGGCAGCAGUGGGGAAUAGUGCACAAUGGGCGCAAGCCUGAUGCAGCCAUGCCGCGUGUAUGAAGAAGGCCUUCGGGUUGUAAAGUACUUUCAGCGAGGAGGCGUUACUCGCAGAAGAAGCACCGGCUAACUCCGUGCCAGCAGCCGCGGUAAUUC
rnacentral:rRNA from 1 species